CCUACGGGUGAGCAGCAGUAGGGAAUAUUGCCCAAUGGGGGAAACCCUGAAGCAGCAACGCCGCGUGGAGGAUGAAGGUUUUCGGUUUGUAAACUCCUUUUGUUAGAGAAGAUAAUGACGGUAUCUAACGAAUAAGCACCGGCUAACUCCGUGCCAGCAGCCGCGGCAAUACGGAGGGUGCAAGCGUUACUCGGAAUCACUGGGCGGAAAGAGCGCGUAGGCGGGAUAGCAAGUCAGAUGUGAAAUCCUAUGGCUUAACCAUAGAACUGCAUUUGAAACUGUUAUUCUAGAGUAUGGGAGAGGUAGGUGGAAUUCUUGGUGUAGGGGUAAAAUCCGUAGAGAUCAAGAGGAAUACUCAUUGCGAAGGCGACCUGCUAGAACAUAACUGACGCUGAUGCGCGAAAGCGUGGGGAGCAAACAGGAUUAGAUACCCUAGUAGUC
rnacentral:rRNA from 1 species